rnacentral:lncRNA from 7 species
AACCAAGAACAAACCAUUGUUGGACGGGUUCUCCUCCCUCAUCUUGUUCCGUGUUCCUGUAUGCGUUGCUUCCGCUCCUGUUGGUCCGCUACGCACGCCGGAUUUUUGCAUCGAGCACGGAGAUCUACAACAAAAACAUGGAGCUACGACGCGAUUCCCAAGGUACAAUCGUAAUUAUGUUCAAACAAUUUUUAAGUCGUCCUGCGCUCCUUCUAUUACGAGCAACGUUUUAUAUUCUGUGCUUGCAUAAUAAAUCGAAGAAAUCCUGACACCAAUCGAACUGAAGAUCCUGAAACGCACGUUAAUACCGUUGACGUCCGCUUCACCCAGCUCGAUUUUCAGUCUUGUAAUAAUAAUUGAGAACUCCAAUGAACUGAGAGUUACUAAUCGCUCCAUGAGUCUGAAGCGUGCAAAAAUUUAGGUCGCAGCUACACAAAUUUACACGCUGUUCUAUAUUCUAUAUUCUAUAUUAUAUUUAGGUCGCAGCUACCCGUGAAUCUCCUAUUUUGAAAAGGUCACUGCUUUUUUAUUUCAUUCUAUAUUCUAUAUUAUAUUUUUGUAAUAUUCAGUCUCGUUUAAUUGCUUUCAGACUUAAUGUUAGAUAAUUGUUUACAUUUUCUACAAUUCAGUCUGGACUAAUUGCUUUGGGACUAAUGUUGGAGAUAUCCAUAUGUAUCUGCGUCUAAGCAUUUUUCAUUUG